AAAUCGCUUGAACCCAGGAGGCGGAGGAUGCAGUGAGCCAAGAUACCCUCAUGGCAUUCCAGCCUGGGAGACAAGAAACUCAGUCUCAAAAAAAAGAAAGAAAGAAAGAAAAAGCAUUAUUAUUAAACAAUAUGUACAGAAUUCAUGGAAGAAACAUGAACUUUCCACAUAUAUCUACCCAGAUUUUCCUCACAUCUCUCAAACAAGAUCAUUCUUAUCUGCACUAAUUGCUACAAUGUGGCCACAAUACAAAUAUGCUCCUCUUUCACUGACUCCUACAAAAUAUUUAUGCUUACAUUUUAAGAUUGCUAAGAAGUUGAAGUCAAUUAGCAAAACUCCUUAAUUCACUCCAGACAUGAAUACAUCCAAGACUUUGACAUAAGGCUGUAUUAGCCUCUGCUAUCGUAGUAAAUGGAAAUAAUUUACUAACAUAGUAUUUACCAGGGGAAAAAAAGGCAUAAAGGGGAAAAAAUUCACAGUGCAGCUCUGUAACGAAGCUACGAUAUGACAAAAGUAUGUAAGGAGUCCCCCAUUUGCCUUGAAUGAUAAGAGAAGCUUCAGUAAAAACAGGCAUUAAAAAAAAAAAAAAAUUAAAAAGAAAUUCCCCUCCCCCACCCAAAAAAAAACACCUUAGGAUGAUCAUACAAGUGUUACAAUUAAAAAAAAAAAGUUUGUGAAUGCCUUUAAAAAAAAAUGCUUUCCUCACCACUAAUACCAGGUUUGAGUUCUGCUAGUUUUUAAGCAAUCAAUGGGAAGCCAUGUGCUCAAAUUGUAUUUUACAAUGCUUUCCAAUACAGACCAAGAAAGUGUGUAGGUAAGGGUAUCAAUGUGAAUGAAGGAAGUAUUCCUUUUCAAAUUCUUUUCAAAAUAAGUAUUCUCUUUUAUGACCUGAAUCUACGCGAUUCAUAUGCUGAGUUUUGCUGGACAAUCCCUAACAGUUUUGGGAUUAAGUUUCAAGUCUCCUAACCCUUAACAGCCUUCUUAUCUAAGACAAUCAAGUUUUACAGAUGGCCAUUUUUUUUAUCAGUCACCUUUUCCCUAAUUUAUAUAAUGAAUGAAAUGAACAACCUAAUUCAGGUUAUAAUUUUUUACUUAAACUAAGUGGGUAAUUGUAAUUUAGAGACCUAAGGGCUGAAUGCAUUCUCUAAAGCAUAAAGAAAUAGACAAAUUAUAGGUGCACAAUUUGCAUUCGGGGACCACAGAAUUUUGAAAUGUAAAAAUUCCCUAUUAAGGCCAUACUUAGAGAUGCCUAUCUCAGGGCCCCAACCUCAAGGACUUAUCCAUGUGUUAAUAAAGUUGAAGGUGUAACUUUCCUGGAAGAACCAUUGGCAACUCGAGAGCCCAAAAAGCCUUUUGAGGACCAAAAUAACUGAAACUCUAAAGGGGGAAUUUCAGGUAAUGACAAAUUGUAAAAGAGAGUGAGCUGGCAAAGGGACUCCUAAUCAGUUCCAAUAAAAUCAUGAACGCAGUUAACAACCUCUCCUUGUUGGGGAAACCAGUGUAAUAAUGUCAAAAUAUACUACUGUAAAAAUCAAAAUUUUAAAACAGAAAUAUCCUAGAUUAAAUUGAACCCCUCUCCCUGGUCCUACUGGUCAUUCAGCAUGUUUUAAAUUCAAGGUUGCCCUUUAGGAAAGGAGGUCACUUAAGGACAGUUAACCUCAAAGAGAUAUCUAGUAUACUAAUUCAAAACUAUUUCAAAAGGGAAAAGGUGGAAAGAAUAAAAGUAACAUACUACUUGAGAUGUUACCAUGUUCUUUCUUAGGGCAGCAAUUAUUUACACUGUUUUUAUGACAAUUCAGUAAUUUCUAAAACAUUAAUUAUGUAGCUGUAUUGUCACUUCAACAAAACAUAUUUGAAAAGUCCUACUGACUCAGGCCAAAUCUAAUUUUAAAACUGAACCUAGACAUAAAACUACUCACCAAUUAAGCGAAGAAGGGGGAAAGAAAAAAAAAAAUUAUUGGUUCACAGAAAUGAGACUGGAUUAAGAAGAAACUAAUGAAGUGUUCAUCGAAAAAAUACAUAGAUGUUUCAAGGCUAAUCUAGGCUAGUGUUUUCCUGGGGAGAUAUUGAGUUGGUUGUUUCACCUGACUGGGAUUUUAGAAACUGCCACACUAGCUAGUUAUGAGAAUGAAGAUUAAAGAAAUUUUACAUGGAAUAAAGAGUGAAAGACAUACAAUCUUUUAAGGAACAAUAAUGAAAAUUAUUAAUAAUUAUGAUUAACAAUAAUUUUUUUUUAAAGCCUUGCAGUCCACCUCUCACUGCCUUCCCCCUCAAAAAUAAAAUUGGAAGUGUUUGGGAAUUAGAGCAAUGUAAUCACAGACAAAAGAAAACACUUUCCUAUAUGUCAUCGUGAAGCAGUGAUUCUACAUUAAAAUAAAAGAAGCCUAUUCUCUAUGUAGUUAUACAAAGUGUGGUACAACUCUCUAAAAUGUCUAUUAAUACAAAAUGAAUGACCACUUUAAAGCCAUUCUAUAUUUUAGCAAACAACCCUACAGAUCUAAGGGUAACUAUUUGCAACUUAAACACAUUCCUAUAUACCUCUAUACCUUCCUUCCUCCUUCCUUCAAGAUACCAUCACGGAAGGAACGUAUGCAACUUAAAUUAGUUUAUUUUCCUUCCUUUCUCCCCGCUCCAUGAAACACAAGUACAUUUUUUUAAGUUACAUAAAUGGAUACCAAGCACCGUUAAUUCAGUCUCCUUAAAACCUGCUUAAUUUUAAAAGUUCUAAUAAGAUGUGUUCAGGUUGGAAACGAAAAACUACCUUAUAAGGGUAUAAAAGACUGAAAGCAGGAAGCGGCUUUGACAAAACUAAGGAAGUUGCAGCGCGCUUGCUCACUGGGGGACUUUUUGAGGCUACAGAAGUAACACAUGACAUUUUUCUCUCUCGAAUUAAAAUGUGACUUGGUUCACCGGUUACAAUGCAGAGGGGGAUGGAAAUGACCGGGAGUCGAAAAGAGAAGAUUAGAGUGCAGUGAUGCAGUCAUGGCCCACUGCAGCCUCUACCUCCUGGACUCAAGGAAUCCUCCUACUUUAGCCUCUCAAGUAGCCGGGACCACAAAGUUGUGCUCUCCUGAAGCCUUUUGGGGCUGGCUGGCUUCCAUACUCAGAAUCAAUCACGCUGAGACAAUGAAAAAACAAAAAUAAACAGGAAAAAAGAGUGAGGGAGUAAUUCUAGCUUAUUUUUAUAAGGAAACAGUGGCUAUAGACAGUGCCGUUGUGAGGAUGAUUCAGCAAAAGUGGAGAACCAAAGAUUCUAGGGCAGCAUCAAAACUGGGAAAACAAUUACAGCAGAAGUUUCCUUCCCCAUGGUAGCUUAGCAACUUCAUGUCUCCCCAAGGCAGAGAGGAAAAUCAAGUCUAACAGGCCUUCCUGGAGGCUAGGUGUGAAAUACCAGAAGCCAUCUUUGUUCCUGGUUAUGACACUAAAUAAGUAUUUGUUGAUAUGAAGUAUUACA